CGUGAUUCACCAGAACACAGGAAGCAACUGUCUGAGUGCUAAGGAGGACAAAGAUCAGCUAGGUCUACUAUCCUACUGAAACCUAUAGACCAGCUUGGUCUACUAUCCUACUGGAACAAUAGACCAGCUAGGUCUACUAUCCUACUGGAACCUAUAGACCUACAGCUAGGUCUACUAUCCUACUGGAACCUAUAGACCAGCUAGGUCUACUAUCCUACUGGAACCUAUAGACCAGCUAGGUCUACUAUCCUACUGGAACCUAUAGACCUACAACUAGGUCUACUAUCCUACUGGAACCUAUAGACCAGCUAGGUCUACUAUCCUACUGGAGCCUAUAGACCUACAGCUAGGUCUACUAUCCUACUGGAACCUAUAGACCUACAGCUAGGUCUACUAUCCUACUGGAACCUAUAGACCUACAGCUGGGUCUACUAUCCUACUGGAACCUAUAGACCUACAGCUAGGUCUACUAUCCUACUGGAACCUAUAGACCAGCUAGGUCUACUAUCCUACUGGAACCUAUA
rnacentral:lncRNA from 1 species